rnacentral:rRNA from 1 species
ACCAGACUCCUACGGGAGGCAGCAGUGGGGGAUAUUGCACAAUGGGGGGAACCCUGAUGCAGCGACGCCGCGUGGGUGAAGAAGCGCCUCGGCGCGUAAAGCCCUGUCAGCAGGGAAGAAAAUGACGGUACCUGAAGAAGAAGCCCCAGCUAACUACGUGCCAGCAGCCGCGGUAAUACGUAGGGGGCAAGCGUUAUCCGGAUUUACUGGGUGUAAAGGGGGCGCAGACGGCGAUGCAAGCCAGGAGUGAAAGCCCGGGGCCCAACCCCGGGACUGCUCUUGGAACUGCGUGGCUGGAGUGCAGGAGGGGCAGGCGGAAUUCCUGGUGUAGCGGUGAAAUGCGUAGAUAUCAGGAGGAACACCGGUGGCGAAGGCGGCCUGCUGGACUGCAACUGACGUUGAGGCCCGAAAGCGUGGGGAGCAAACAGGAUUAGAUACCCCAGUAG